UUUAGGCCUGUUAUGGACGAAAUAGCAACGGAACCUUUAAAAUAUGCAGAACAGCUUCCAGUAGCACAAAUAAUACACCAGAAACCGAAACAAAAGGACUGGCAUCCUCCCGGAGGCUUCAUUUUAGGACUUUGGGCUCUAAUUAUCAUGGUCUUCUUUAAAACCUAUGGAAUCAAGCACAUGAAGCACAUCUUUUAGAACUUCAAAGCAACCACAUUUGAACUGUGAAUCAAGUUCCCUAUCUGAAAAUAUUUGAAUGGAUAAUGUCAUGAACUUGUCUGCUUGAAAUAUUUUGUCACAUUUUGUUCCAUCUCUUAAAAUGAACUUUAAUUAUUUUUUAUUUUUAUUUUAUUUUUAAAACACAACGUAAUUUCAUAACAGGGCUGAAGUUAUUCUACUUGUAAA